rnacentral:rRNA from 1 species
GACGAACGCUGGCGGCGUGCUUAACACAUGCAAGUCGAACGGGUCUGCCCUGUUUUUUGCGGGGUGGGUCAGUGGCGAACGGGUGAGUAACACGUGAGUAACCUGCCCCUCACUUCUGGAUAACCGCUUGAAAGGGUGGCUAAUACGGGGUGUUCUGGCUGUGCCGCAUGGUGUGGCUGGGAAAGAUUCACUUUUGUGGUGUUUUGGUGGGGGAUGGGCUCGCGGCCUAUCAGCUUGUUGGUGGGGUGAUGGCCUGCCAAGGCUUUGACGGGUAGCCGGCCUGAGAGGGCGGGCGGUCACACUGGGACUGAGAUACGGCCCAGACUCCUGCGGGAGGCAGCAGUGGGGGGUAUUGCACAAUGGGCGGAAGCCUGAUGCAGCGACGUCGCGUGAGGGAUGGAGGCCUUCGGGUUGUGAACCUCUUUCGCCGGUGAAGAAGGUCCUGCUCUUUGUGGUGGGGUUGACGGUAGCCGGGUUAUGAAGCGCCGGCUAACUACGUG